UUCAUUAAAAUUAAAAAGUUUACAGGCUGGGUAGUCGGUGGCUUACGCCUAUAAUCCCAGCACCUUGGGAGGCCAAGGUGGGCAGAUCACUUGAGCUUAGGAGUUCGA